GACGAAGGGGGCUAGCGUUGUUCGGAAUUACUGGGCGUAAAGCGCGUGUAGGCGGUUGUUCAAGUCAGGUGUGAAAGCCUUGAGCUCAACUCAAGAAAUGCACUUGAUACUGGAUGACUAGAGGACCGGAGAGGAUAGUGGAAUUCCCAGUGUAGUGGUGAAAUACGUAGAGAUUGGGAAGAACACCAGUGGCGAAGGCGGCUAUCUGGACGGUUUCUGACGCUAAGACGCGAAAGCGUGGGGAGCAAACAGG
rnacentral:rRNA from 3 species